rnacentral:misc_RNA from 1 species
CACCGUAUUCCGCUACGAUCUCAUGUGGGAGUUUGUCAGUGCUAUCGUCGAGAGGCGUGAGGCGGUACCUGACUUUUAUGACGGAUUGCGCGCGCAAGUCGUGGUCGAUUCCGUGUUGAAAUCGGAUAACGACCGGCGAUGGUUGGACAUCGACGACGAACCUCGAUAAGCUCAAGCCAGUGCCCGGUGCCGCUCUUCCCGCGAGGCGUUCCGCAUGUCGAUCAGCGUCGAAACUCCAGUCCAAGCGAUUCAUCCGGCGGAGCGGAUCAUGCACCGCCUCACGGGAAUCCAGAUCCUCGCGAUCGAUGCCUUUGCGCCACCGGAGGUCGUCGACAACAAGGACCUUUCGGCGCUCGGGUAUGACGAGCAGUGGAUUGUCCAGCGAACGGGAAUUCGAGAACGGCGCCGAGCUCCUGCGGGCAUGACGGCCAGCGAAGUGGCGUUCGAGGCGGCGCGCGGUUGUUUGGAAAAGGCGGCGUUGAGCCCGGCGGAAAUCGAUUUGAUUCUCGUGGCCACCGUCACACCCGAUACUCAUAUGCCAGCCGCGGCGUGUCACCUGCAGCGUCGGUUGGGAUCGCACGCGGCCGCGAUGGACAUCAACGCCGCUUGCUCCGGAUUCAUCUACGCCUUCGCCACUGCGGCGCAGUUCGUCAAGACCGGAUUCGCUCAACGAGUACUCGUCGUAGGUGUCGACCUGAUGUCCCGAAUUGUGGACCCGCAAGACAAGAAAACGUAUCCGCUCUUCGGCGAUGGAGCCGGCGCGGUAAUUCUCGGUCCAGGAGAUUCCGAACAAGGGCUGCUGUCCUACACGCUGGGUGCCGACGGCAGCGGGGCGGAACUCUUAUGCAUUCCUGCAGGCGGCACGCGGGAGCCUAUCUCCGCUUCGACGUUUUCCGAGAAGCGCUAUUUCAUGCGGAUGCAAGGCAAGCCGAUCUUCAAAUGGGCGGUGCGCACGGUGUCCGAUACGAUUCGCGAGGUUGUCGCCGCCGCUCGCUUGACGCUGAC